UACGUAGGGGGCAAGCGUUGUCCGGAAUCAUUGGGCGUAAAGAGCUCGUAGGCGGCUUGUUGCGUCGACUGUGAAAACCCGUGGCUCAACCAUGUGGUCUGCAGUCGAUACGGGCAGGCUAGAAUUCGGUAGGGGAGACUGGAAUUCCUGGUGUAGCGGUGAAAUGCGCAGAUAUCAGGAGGAACACCGGUGGCGAAGGCGGGUCUCUGGGCCGAUAUUGACGCUGAGGAGCGAAAGCGUGGGGAGCGAACAGG
rnacentral:rRNA from 1 species